rnacentral:rRNA from 1 species
UGCAGUCGANCGGNAACGCGGUUUCCCUGUGGUCGAGAGGGGAACGGGUGAGUAAUAUAUCUGAAAGCGGCCCCUAUCGUGGGGUAUACCGGCGAAAACGGUAUUAAAACCCCGUGAUACCUGUGAGUGAAAUGGGUGGAUUUGCUCGAACCUCGCGCUAUUGGAGCGGUCGAUAUCUGAUUAGGUAGNUGGUGGGGUAUGGCUNACCAUGCCUACGAUCUGUAGCUGGUCUGAGAGGACGACCAGCCACACUGGGACUGAGACACGGCCCAGACUCCUACGGGAGGCAGCAGUGGGGAAUUUUGGACAAUGGGCGAAAGCCUGAUCCAGCCAUGCCGCGUGAGGGAAGAAGGCCUUCGGGUUGUAAACCUCUUUUGUCAGGGAAGAAAUCCUUUGAGUUAAUACCUCUAAGGAAUGACGGUACCUGAACAAGAAACACCGGCUAACUACAUGCCAGCAGCCGCGGUAAUACGUAAGGUGCGAGCGUUAAUCGGAAUUACUGGGCGUAAAGCGUGCGCAGGCGGUCUUGCAAGACANAUGUGAAAUCUGCGNGCUCUACCUGGGAACUGCACUUGUGACUGCNAGGCUGGAAUACGUGANAGGGGGAUGGAAUUCCNCGUGUAGCAGUGAAAUGCGUAGAGAUGCGGAGGAACACCGAUGGCGAAGGCAAUCUCCUGAGCCUGUAUUGACGCUCAUGCACGAAAGCGUGNGGAGCAAACAGGAUUAGAUACCCUGGGAGUCCACGCCCUANACGAUGUCNNCUGGNUGNUGGGCCGCUUGUAGCUCUGUA